AUGAACGAGUCAAGAGCAAUUUAAAGGGGGUACAGCCCCUUUAAAAAAGAACACAGCCUCCUAUAGCGGAUAACCCCCUCCCCACUACAAUACACCUCCCCCCGUGGGCCUUAAAGCAGCCAUCAAUAAAGAAUGCGUCAAACCUCAGCACAUAAAAAUCCGAAAAUCAACGUGACUCCCUCACCCCUAACAGGCCAACCUAUGUACAAUAGGAGCAUUAAUGCUAAAAUAAGUAACUAGGCUUACACCCCCUCUUAAGCGCAAACUUACAUCCUACAUUAUUAACAGAACCCCCAACCAAUACUACUAAACACCAACAAGACUCCGUAUUAAAAUACCCAAAUACUGUUAAUCCAACCCAGGAGCGCCUACUAGAAAGAUUAAAAUCUGUAAAAGGAACAUGGCAACCCCAGGGCCCGACUGUUUACCAAAAACAUAGCCUUCAGCCAAACAAGUAUUGAAGGUGAUGCCUGCCCAGUGACAUACGUUUAACGGCCGCGGUAUCCUAACCGUGCGAAGGUAGCGCAAUCAAUUGUCUCAUAAAUUGAGACCUGUAUGAAUGGCUAAACGAGGCCCUAACUGUCUCUUACAGAUAAUCAGUGAAAUUGAUCUUCCCGUGCAAAAGCAGGAAUGAACCCAUAAGACGAGAAGACCCUGUGGAACUUAAAAAUCAAUGACCACCCCACACAAACUAACCUACCAGGCUUAACUAUCCUACACACUGGCCCACAUUUUUUGGUUGGGGCGACCUUGGAGAAAAGCAAACCCUCCAAAAAUAAGACCACCCGUCUUGACCUAGAGCAACCCCUCAACGUGCUAACAGCAACCAGACCCAAUAUAAUUGACCAAUGGACCAAGCUACCCCAGGGAUAACAGCGCAAUCUCCUUCAAGAGCCCGUAUCGACAAGGAGGUUUACGACCUCGAUGUUGGAUCAGGACAUCCUAAUGGUGCAGCCGCUAUUAAGGGUUCGUUUGUUCAACGAUUAACAGUCCUACGUGAUCUGAGUUCAGACCGGAGCAAUCCAGGUCGGUUUCUAUCUAUGCUUAUACUUUCCCCAGUACGAAAGGACCGGUAAAGUGGGGCCAAUACCACAAGCACGCCCCCCUUCAAAGUAAUGAACCCAACUAAAUUACAAAAGAAGCACCACUUACUUUUAUCACCCCUAGAAAAGGACAGCUAGCGUGGCAAAGCUUGGUAAAUGCAA
rnacentral:rRNA from 1 species